rnacentral:rRNA from 1 species
GUGCUUAACACAUGCAAGUCGAACGGUGAAGCCCAGCUUGCUGGGUGGAUCAGUGGCGAACGGGUGAGUAACACGUGAGCAACCUGCCCUCCACUUCGGGAUAAGCCUUGGAAACGGGGUCUAAUACCGGAUAUGAGCAUCUGCCGCAUGGUGGGUGUUGGAAAGUUUUUCGGUGGGGGAUGGGCUCGCGGCCUAUCAGCUUGUUGGUGGGGUGAUGGCCUACCAAGGCGUCAACGGGUAGCCGGCCUGAGAGGGCGACCGGCCACACUGGGACUGAGACACGGCCCAGACUCCUACGGGAGGCAGCAGUGGGGAAUAUUGCACAAUGGGCGAAAGCCUGAUGCAGCGACGCCGCGUGAGGGAUGACGGCCUUCGGGUUGUAAACCUCUUUCAGCAGGGAAGAAGGCCUUCGGGUGGACGGUACCUGCAGAAGAAGCGCCGGCUAACUACGUGCCAGCAGCCGCGGUAAUACGUAGGGCGCAAGCGUUGUCCGGAAUUAUUGGGCGUAAAGAGCUCGUAGGCGGUCUGUCGCGUCUGGUGUGAAAUCCCGAGGCUCAACCUCGGGCUUGCAUCGGGUACGGGCAGACUAGAGUACUGUAGGGGAGACUGGAAUUCCUGGUGUAGCGGUGGAAUGCGCAGAUAUCAGGAGGAACACCGAUGGCGAAGGCAGGUCUCUGGGCAGUUACUGACGCUGAGGAGCGAAAGCAUGGGGAGCGAACAGGAUUAGAUACCCUGGUAGUCCAUGCCGUAAACGUUGGGCACUAGGUGUGGGGCUCAUUCCACGAGUUCCGUGCCGCAGCUAACGCAUUAAGUGCCCCGCCUGGGGAGUACGGCCGCAAGGCUAAAACUCAAAUGAAUUGACGG